GCCAACCUUCAACUUUUUCAUUUUCAUUUCUCCACUAUUUGAUUUAAAUACUUUAUUUCUUAUUUUAUUUUUAACUCUCUCUUUCUGAAAUCCCUCAUAUCUCUCUUUCUCAAUCCCUAAAUUUCUCCAUGCCUCCGAUCUCCAGCCUCUCACUGCACCUCUCGCACGAUCGACUAUCGCCUUUAGCCUUUCCGAAUAAAUGGCCUUUGAAUCGAGCUCAUCCUCGUCUCCUCUGGUGGGUCAAUGGAAGUUGAGCGCCACCUCUGCUUGCUCGGGACGCCGCCUCCUUCGGUCCCAUCGCCCCCGCUGGCCGGGGUGAAGAAGUUGAGCACGGACUAUGCUGGGAAAAUAGCUUUAGAGGCGGUAAGAUUCGUGACGCUUAGAGGAUGUGUAUCGAUGGUGAAUGGAGUCAAGGGGCCGAGCGUUAUUCGAUUCGAUGAUGUAGUCUCAUUUUAUUUUUUUAUGGUUUUACAUGUAUUUUCCGCAUUUUCUAUGUAACUCUUUUCACUUUAAGUUAUUUUUGUUUUAAAGACAAUGGGUACCCAUAUCCUACUUAUUUUUAUGAGAGUAACCUUUGUUUCUACAAAUUUAUAAUAAAUUAUAGUAUUUUCGCAAA